rnacentral:rRNA from 1 species
AAGUCGUAACAAGGUUUCCGUAGGUGAACCUGCGGAAGGAUCAUUACUGAAUUACUGAAGGGUUGCAGCUGGCUCCUCGGAGUAUGUGCUCGCCUUUCAAAUUCAUCUUAACCACCUGUGCACUUUUGUAGACUGUGUUAACUCUCAAUGCUUUCUAAGCAAUGGAUAGAGAGACUGCGCUAUUAGCUGUCUUUCGAUUUCACAGUCUACGUUUUAUAUCAUAUACACAAAGUCUUAGAAUGUUAUUUUGUGGGUCUUAACGACCUAUAGAACUAAUACAACUUUCAACAACGGAUCUCUUGGCUCUCGCAUCGAUGAAGAACGCAGCGAAAUGCGAUAAGUAAUGUGAAUUGCAAAAUUCAGUGAAUCAUCGAAUCUUUGAACGCACCUUGCACUCCUUGGUAUUCCGAGGAGUAUGCCUGUUUGAGUGUCAUUAAAUUCUCAAACCUUCAUGGUUUUCGUGACUUUUGAAGGCUUUGGAUGUGGGAGUUGCUGGCUUUUAACAAGUCAGCUCUCCUUAAACGCAUUAGUGGUUACUGUUCUCCACUUUGAUGUGAUAGUUAUCUGCAUCUAUAGGUGGAGAUGUUAAGUGUAGCUGCUCUCUAACCGUCCAAAUUGCUUGGACAGCUUUGAACCAUUUGACCUCAAAUCACGUAGGACUACCCGCUGAACUUAA